UGAGUACGAGAUGCUACGGCAUCGAAGCAGUCUGUGUCAUACUUCCAAGAAAAGCUUGCACUGUCAGAAACAGAUAAUGCCUGUACCAUAACCGACACAGGUGGGUAGGUAGAGUAUACUAAGGGGCGCGAGAUAACUCUCUCUAAGGAACUCGGCAAAAUGACUCCGUAACUUCGGGAGAAGGAGUGCCUUAUUUUUAAGGUUGCAAUAACAAGAUCCAAGCAACUGUUUACCAAAAACACAGGUCUCCGCUAAGUCGUAAGACGAUGUAUGGGGGCUGACGCCUGCCCAGUGCCAGAAGGUUAAAGAAGUCGGUUAGCAUUCGCGAAGCUGGUAACUGAAGCCCUGGUGAACGGCGGCCGUAACGAUAACGGUCCUAAGGUAGCGAAAUUCCUUGUCGGGUAAGUUCCGACCCGCACGAAAGGCGUAAUGAUUUGGAUACUGUCUCGGAGAGGGGCUCGGUGAAAUAGACUUGUCUGUGAAGAUGCGGACUACCUGCACCUGGACAGAAAGACCCUAUGAAGCUUUACUGUAACUUGAAAUUGAAAUUGGACUUUAUUUGCGCAGUAUAGGUGGGAGGCGUUGAAAAUAUUCUUGCGGGAAUAUUGGAGCCAUCAGUGAGAUACCACUCUUGUAAUGUUAGAUUUCUAACUUUAUAUCAUUAUCUGGUUAAAGAACAGUUUCAGGCGGGCAGUUUGACUGGGGCGGUCGCCUCCCAAAUGGUAGCGGAGGCGCACAAAGGUUUCCUCUGAACGGGUAGAAAUCGUAUCUAGAGUGUAAAGGCAUAAGGAAGCUUGACUGUGAGACCUACAAGUCGAGCAGGGACGAAAGUCGGUCUUAGUGAUCUGACGGUGCUGAGUGGAAAGGCCGUCACUCAACGGAUAAAAGUUACUCUAAGGAUAACAGGCUGAUCUCCCCCAAGAGUUCACGUCGACGGGGAGGUUUGGCACCUCGAUGUCGGCUCAUCGCAUCCUGGGGCGGUAGUACGUCCCAAGGGUUGGGCUGUUCGCCCAUGAAAGCGGUACGCGAGCUGGGUUCAGAACGUCGUGAGACAGUUCGGUCCAUAUCCGGUGUAGGCGUUAGAAUAUUGAGAGGAGCCUUCUUUAGUACGAGAGGACCGAGAAGGACAUACCUCUGGUGUACCAGUUAUCGUGCCAACGGUAAACGCUGGGUAGCUAUGUAUGGAGUGGAUAACCGCUGAAAGCAUCUAAGUGGGAAGCCCGCCUCAAGAUAAGUAUUCUCACC
rnacentral:rRNA from 1 species